UUUCAGAGAUGAGAAUGUGCCUUCGGGAACCGUGAGACAGGUGCUGCAUGGCUGUCGUCAGCUCGUGUUGUGAAAUGUUGGGUUAAGUCCCGCAACGAGCGCAACCCUUAUCCUUGUUGCCAGCGGUCCGGCCGGGAACUCAAAGGAGACUGCCAGUGAUAAGCUGGAGGAAGGUGGGGAUGACGUCAAGUCAUCAUGGCCCUUACGACCAGGGCUACACACGUGCUACAAUGGCGCAUACAAAGAGAAGCGACCUCGCGAGAGCAAGCGGACCUCAUAAAGUGCGUCGUAGUCCGGAUUGGAGUCUGCAACUCGACUCCAUGAAGUCGGAAUCGCUAGUAAUCGUAGAUCAGAAUGCUACGGUGAAUACGUUCCCGGGCCUU
rnacentral:rRNA from 1 species